GCCGGGCAUGGUGGUGUGUGCCUGUAAUCCCAGCUACCUGGGAGGCUGAGGCAGAAGAAUCGCUUGAACCCAGGAGGUGGAGGCUGCAGUGAGCCGAGAUCGUGCCAUUGCACUACAGCCUGGGUGACAGAGCGAGACUCUGUCUCUA
rnacentral:SRP_RNA from 2 species